rnacentral:lncRNA from 1 species
CUUUUCUCUCCAGCUGCCUCGCAUGAUGGCAAAUGGCAUAUUUAAAUGGUAAAAGGCUUGAUCUCUAUCUCAAAACAUUUGACAUACUCACACUGAAGAUGGAAAAAACUGUUUUUGAUGGCUUCAGAGGAAAGACUGUGUACUAAGAAGAGGUCUGAUUAUAAAAGGAGAAUUGGAGGCUUACCAAACAUCUGAAGAGCUUUCCAGAAGUUUGGUCACUUCUGAAUUAGAGAAGUUAAAACCCAAUCACCUACUAAUGCUGUGGGAAAGUUCUGCAGGUGAUACAUCACAGGGGCUCAUGAAUGUGUCUUAAGCUGGGUCAUUGAAGUGGAAUGUUUUCACAAGACCUCCUCCACUUGCUACUGUGUCCGGAAUUGGUGGGUUCUUGGUCUCACUGACUUCAAGAAUGAAGCCGCGGACCCUCGCGGGAGUGGCAAAUCAAAGGCAUUGCAGCCUCUUUCAUCACUGCCGAUUGCUGAUGCCAACCAUGUGCCAAGUGCUUAAUACGUCACCUUAAAUCUUCUCAUCCACCCUCAGAGUAGCUGCAGCAUCAACCCAGUGCCCUGACUUUCAAGACGACUAUGAAAACACCCCAACUGCUGCUAAAUUACCAGCAACAAGGAUCUGACAUUCUUAUUCAAAAGAAAGAACACCGAAAUUGACCUUACCCUGACAAUAUGAUGGCUGAAGGAUUUAUGAUCACUUAUAACAUUUGAAAUUGAGGCGGAACCUGAAGAAUAAGACUCUGGUGAAAGGUCCUAUUUAUGCUUUUGAUGUCUUUCACUUGGACAUUUACCACAUGCCUAUUGGUAGGUUUGUUACAUAGGUCAGUUAAGGUGAUACAAGAAUAAAUAAAACACUAUCCCUAUCCUUUAAUAUCAUUUAUUUAUGGGGUCAAUCACAGAUUUUCAUUUUUCAAAAUCUUUGAUAAAUGUCAGAAUUAUGUUUUUUAAUAUUUUUACAGAAUUAUUACAAUAUAUGGUAGAGGAUGGAAGGCAAGGUAGUAUGAAACGGAAAAGAUAUUUUGAAUUAAGGUAUUUGGACCUGGAUUAAUAUUUUUGCUUUGGUCUUUAUUAGCUGAGUGACCUUGAGAAAGUUCUUCUACUAAAAAAGAACAAAGAUAAUAAUUACUUCAUGAAAUUGCUGUAAAAAACACAUAACAAGUAUAUCCAGACUCAACAGUGUAUGCUCAAAAAUGCAGAUCCUUUUUCCCUUACCUGCAAAUAAAGUCUUACAGUAAUACAGUGGGGGUAAAGGUUUAAACUGGUGGAUUCAAGAAGGGCUAUAGAAAGAGGUAGCAUCUUAAUAGGGGAAGGAGAGGAUCCAAGAAAUCAGAUCCAUUUUCUACAAAAAGAAAUGGGAAGACAGAUAAUUCAAGAAGAAAAGUUUACAUGAUUAAAGACCCGAAGUUAGAAAUAGUGAUGUGUCUCAAUAGUAAGUUAGGAAUUGGGGUGGACACAAUUGUUGGAAGAAGGAUGGUUUCAGCAAAGGCCCAAGUUAGGUGACAAUUUCAAGUGUUUGUGAAGAUAUAUGAACAAAAUUAUAAAGUAGUUAGGGUAUAAGAAAUAGGGAGGAGGGAAUGAAUUAACAUUUAUGGAGUGUCUUGCAUGUUCCAAGCACUGUACUACUUGCCUUAUAAACCUUUCUUCAAUAAACGCCUACAACAAUCCUGAGAUGUGGAAUUAUUAGUUCCUCAAUGGACCCAGAGAGUUUCAAUUAUGUGCUUAAGAACACAGAGUUAGUAAAGGACAGAGACAGAAUUCAAAUUAAGCCUAUGUUACUCCACAUCCUAUGCAUUCACUAAACCUCUCAAGAAAACCAAUUUAUUGGACCUUUUAAUCAUUUAAGAAUGAGAUGAUAGGGGGCGGUUCCAAGAUGGCCAAAUAGGAACAGCUCCAGUCUACAGCU